rnacentral:rRNA from 1 species
CCUACGGGAGGCAGCAGUGAGGAAUAUUGGUCAAUGGGCGGAAGCCUGAACCAGCCAAGUCGCGUGAGGGAUUAAGGCCCUGCGGGUCGUAAACCUCUUUUGCCGGGGAGCAGUGGUCCGGACGAGUCCGGGCCGGGAGAGUACCCGGAGAAAAAGCAUCGGCUAACUCCGUGCCAGCAGCCGCGGUAAUACGGAGGAUGCGAGCGUUAUCCGGAUUUAUUGGGUUUAAAGGGUGCGUAGGCGGGCAUUUAAGCCGGCGGGCAAAUGUCGGGGCUCAACCCCGGCCGGCCGUCGGAACUGGGUGCCUUGAGUGGGCGAGAAGUAUGCGGAAGGUGUGGUGUAGCGGUGAAAUGCAUAGAUAUCACGCAGAACCCCGAUUGCGAAGGCAGCAUACCGGCGCCCGACUGACGCUGAGGCACGAAAGUGCGGGUAUCGAACAGGAUUAGAUACCCUUGUAGUC